CACGCUGUAAACGAUGUCGAUUUGGAGGUUGUGCCCUUGAGGCGUGGCUUCCGGAGCUAACGCGUUAAAUCGACCGCCUGGGGAGUACGGCCGCAAGGUUAAAACUCAAAUGAAUUGACGGGGGCCCGCACAAGCGGUGGAGCAUGUGGUUUAAUUCGAUGCAACGCGAAGAACCUUACCUACUCUUGACAUCCAGAGAACUUAGCAGAGAUGCUUUGGUGCCUUCGGGAACUCUGAGACAGGUGC
rnacentral:rRNA from 1 species